CGGGAUGUAGCUCAGUUUGGUAGAGUGCCUGCUUUGGGAGCAGGAUGUCACAGGUUCGAAUCCUGCCAUCCCGACCA
rnacentral:tRNA from 1 species